UACAAGUGCUCAUUUCCGCUCUCAAGUUCCAUUUCAAUCUUCUUUUCAGAACGGAGACAUUCUCUAGAUGCUCUCAGCUUGCUGUGGACUUGGCCAGAAAAAGAAAAAAAGAAGAAGAAGGAGGAGGAGGAGGAGAAGUCUUUUACAUGCCAUUAAGAAGUUCUAGCGUGCAGCUUUCCAGCCACCCAGGGAGGAAGGCUGGGAGGCACCACGGGCGACACGGGCCUUCGCCAAGUCCAACAGGUGCAGCACAGCCUGUGAUAUGACAAGAACAAAAGUCCUCCUGAUGAAAGUCUUCCAACAGCUUCUCCGAGAGGACGGCCUGAAGAACGUCGGGAGCCCAGUGCACAUGGCAUGCAGGGAGCUGCAGGUGACGCUCAGGUCCUGAGCUGCCGAGCCUCAAGUGGCAUGCAGCAUUUUGAAGGAAAAUGAGGAAUUGGUCAAGAAAACCUGAAUUCAAGCAAACCAUGAAAGUGAA